UGCCAGCCGCCGCGGUAAUACAGAGGGUACAAACGUUGUUCGGAAUUACUGGGCGUAAAGCGCGUGUAGGCGGUUAAGUAAGUCGGAUGUGAAAUCCCGGGGCUCAACUCCGGAACUGCACCCGAAACUACCUAGCUAGAGUCUCGGAGAGGAAGGCAGAAUUCCCAGUGUAGGGGUGAAAUCCGUAGAUAUUGGGAAGAAUACCAGUGGCGAAGGCGGCCUUCUGGACGAUGACUGACGCUGAGACGCGAAAGCGUGGGGAGCAAACAGGAUUAGAUA
rnacentral:rRNA from 1 species